GAUGAACGCUUGCCGCGUGCCUAAUACAUGCAAGACGAGCGAAUGGAUUAAGAGCUUGCUCUUAUGAAGUUAGCGGCGGACGGGUGAGUAACACGUGGGUAACCUACCCAUAAGACUGGGAUAACUCCGGGAAACCGGGGCUAAUACCGGAUAACAUUUUGAACCGCAUGGUUCGAAAUUGAAAGGCGGCUUCGGCUGUCACUUAUGGAUCGACCCGCUUCGCAGUAGCUAGUUGGUGAGGGAACGGCGCACCAAGGCAACGAUGCGUAGCCGACCUGAGAGGGUGAUCGGCCACACUGGGAGUGAGACACGGCCCAGACUCCUACGGGAGGCAGCAGUAGGGAAUCUUCCGCAAUGGACGAAAGUCUGACGGAGCAACGCCGCGUGAGUGAUGAAGGCUUUCGGGUCGUAAAACUCUGUUGUUAGGGAAGAACAAGUGCUAGUUGAAUAAGCUGGCACCUUGACGGUACCUAACCAGAAAGCCACGGCUAACUACGUGCCAGCAGCCGCCGUAA
rnacentral:rRNA from 1 species